ensembl:lncRNA
AUGAUGGAAUUACUGAUUAAUGAAUCAAGAUUCUGUGCAACUGCAUUUUGCACAAAGAGUACUGUCACUGCUUCUUUCCUCUUUCAUUCAUUCAGACUUGCUGAAUUACACUUGUGCGACCUGUCACCUCAGCUACUUUCAUUUUUUUUCUUCAUUUCUCAUUCUCACAUUGUCCUUUUGUCCUCCUCUGCUUACCGUAGGGCAACCACACAGAUCUCUGCAGCAGCACCAGCAGUCUGCCUUCAGCCAGACUACAAAAUGGACGGGGGUCACUGCAUGAAGAAAGUUCAUACUCUGCCACUAGGCGUUUCAGUGGCUCCAGCACUAGAGGCGCUUCAGACUAUAAUGGUUUUCUGGGCUCCAGCUCCAGGGCCUCUUCUAGGGCGAGUUCAGCCCGUGCCAGUCCUGUGGUGGAGGAAAGGUCAGAUUUCCUGGAAAAAGGGUCCAGGACAGCCUCCACCCUCUCUGCUGCAACUCUAGCAUCCCUUGGUGGAGGUUUAUCACGAAGAGGAAGCUGUGAUACCUCGAUUUCAGUGGACACUGAGGCCUCCAUACGGGAAAUGAAGGUAAUUGAAGGUGUAUUUAUAAUACUGUGUUAUAAUGACCAUGGUCUGUAUGUAAUUUCAUAAUUUUUGUUUGUCUGCUCUCAGGACUCCCUGGUGGAGGUGGAGGAGAAAUACCGUAAGGCAAUGGUGUCCAAUGCUCAGCUGGACAAUGAGAAGACAAACCUGAUGUAUCAGGUGGACACACUGAGAGAUACUCUGAUGGAGCUGGAGGAAUUUCUGUGUGAGACACGCAGAGAGUGUGAGGAGAAAAUCAGAGUAAGGGCUGUCAAGUGGUGAAAUCACUUUUUUUUUUUUUUAAAUCCUCUAGAAUAAUUGACCCUUGUACAAAUGACUAAUUGUUUUGAUUUUGUUCAAUACAAAAUAUG